rnacentral:lncRNA from 1 species
GUAGUAGCAGUUCACAUGUGGCCCGAGGAGUUCAGUGACCAUUGGAUCUGCUUUUGGUCUGAUAAGCAGGUAGUGGUGAGCGUCUUAGCAAAACAGUCCUCACGCUCUAGCACAGUCUCCGCCCCUCCGUUCAUGCUUUCGAGCUGCGCCGCUUAAGGUUUAAUAUUGUGCUUUCUACUCUCCAAAUUACAGGAUCCUCUAAUGAUGUCGCUGACACUCUAUCCCAUUUUCAGAUGAAGUGCUUCAGAUCCUGGGCUCCAGACUCAGCUAUUGCCAGACUUUUCCAGACCACCUGUGGCAUUUUGACAACAAUUAGUAAUUACAGAGAGCAGCAGCUUCCAUUUCCCCUUCUGCUUUUAGCUCUUAUGAGAAGGCCUGGAUGGAUUUCUUAGCCUUAAGCUGGCAGUCCUCGGCCAUUCAGAUGAACUGGCCCCCAUCCUCUGAGCAGAUCCGCAGUAUUUGGUCCACCUGCUGCAGAUUGGGCGUGCGUUAUAACUAUCAGAAUUCAGUCCGCUGCAAUGUCUGUUACACUGAAGCUUUAUUUUUCAGAGACCCUUGUAUAAAGUUUGUAGUGCGCAUGGCCUUGGAAGGUUGGAAUAGGCUCCAACCUCAUAGGACAGUGGGCAGGAAGCCGGUCAAUUUUUACUUAUGCAGUAUCUGCAACAAGUUAAAACUUGUCUGCUGGUUAAAGAUCAAGGCGAGACUCCUUUCAGUAGUCCAUUGCAUUUUCGCACUGAGGCUUGGGAAAAUGGUUGUUGGAGCCAGCAUGGGGCUGAGAGUCUGGAGGCUUAUUGCUUCAGGACUUUUCCUUAUCCUUUGGAGCUUGUCAUUAGAGUUGGGAACUCUAAAACAGACUUAGUGGGCAGGAGUGCCACAAUCAGGCUUCCCGCCACAGGUGAGGAGGGCCCUUGCCCGGUUAUGGAUAACAGAAUAUUUGGCUUUUCAUUCCCUGGGGGCUGGCCCGCUCCUAGUGCAUGAAAAUGGGUUCCCGUUAGCCAGGCAUCAAUGUGCUUACGUCGUGCACCAGUUAUUACGGCCUGCGGCUUGCUUACCGCUGAACACGCCUCAUUCCUUACGAUUGGGUGCUGCUGCAAAGGCUGCACACUGGGGGCCUGUCAGUAGACAGGAUUGUGAAUACGGGUCAUUGGAAGUCUGACGCUGACAAGGGUUAUAUCAGGAAGUGUCACAAUGAUGUCUGUGCUGAUGCUUGUCUGUUAUUUCCUUUUUCAUAGGAGCAGCUGUGCACAUUUGGGCCACAGCAUUGUACACUAGGCUGGCAAGCAGGUUGACGAGUUUGGACUGGGGCGCCAUCUCAGUCUUCCUGCCCAUGUGAACAUAUACUGGAUGUCCAGAUGGGAAUGCUUUGGGAGGAGAUCCUUCCUUUGGUGCGGUCGAGUGUGACCUGUGCAGGUCCUCCCGCAGUGCUGGUGGUACAGCUGGGCGAGAAUGUUUGCUGUCUUCCUCCAGCAUAAGUUUGCAUUCCUGCAUGCAAGAGGGCUUGGAUUGAGUUGAUGGCAGCUCUCCCAGGACUCAAAAUAAUUUAAGGCAUUGGUUCAAGGUGGUCUGGAGGGGGGGUUGGAGCACCUGUCCCCUCCAAUGCGCAAAGAUAUUCCAUUAAGGGAAUCCAAGGAUUCACCAUGCUUUUGUCGACCCCUUUCGAGGGGUAGGGGCACGCAAGAGUCCCUGGGAGCAUUUGGGGGUGAGCUUGAGUCUGAUCCUGGUUCAUUGCUCCCCCACGCUGUUUACUGGUACUGACGAUAUGGUGGGGCCCAGUCGUCAGUGCUGCCCUGCUGAGGUCAGGUGCAGCCAGUCAGGAACCAAUGCCUAGACAAACUACCACCGAGCAGGCCAGAAAGCAUGUUAAUAAGGCGGUGGACAAUAG